rnacentral:rRNA from 1 species
GACGAACGCUGGCGGCGUGCUUAACACAUGCAAGUCGAACGGAAAGGCCCUGCUUUUGUGGGGUGCUCGAGUGGCGAACGGGUGAGUAACACGUGAGUAACCUGCCCUUGACUUUGGGAUAACUUCAGGAAACUGGGGCUAAUACCGGAUAGUAGCUCCUGCUGCAUGUUGUGGGUUGGAAAGUUUCGGCGGUUGGGGAUGGACUCGCGGCUUAUCAGCUUGUUGGUGUGGUAGUGGCUUACCAAGGCUUUGACGGAUAGCCGGCCUGAGAGGGUGACCGGCCACAUUGGGCCUGAGAUACGGCCAAGAGUGCUACGGGAGGCAGCAGUGGGGAAUAUUGCACAAUGGGCGGAAGCCUUAUGCAGCAACUCCGCGUGCGGGAUGACGGCUUUCGGGUUGUAAACCGCUUUCGCCUGUGACGAAGCGUGAGUGACGGUAAUGUGUAAAGAAGCACCGGCUAACUACGUG